ensembl:lncRNA
GUCCUGUCCCCAUCUUAUAUCCCUGUCCCCAUCCUCUAUCCUCUGUCCCUAUCCUCUAUCCUCUGUCUCUAUCCUCUGUCCCCAUCCUCUAUCCCUGUCCCCAUCCUCUAUCCUCUCUCCCGUCCUCUGUCCCCAUCUUAUAUCCCUGUCCCCAUCAAAUAUCCUCUGUCCCCCUCCACUAUCCCUGUCCCCAUCCACUAUCCCUGUCCCCAUCCACUAUCCCUGUCCCCAUCCACUAUCCCUGUCCCCAUCUUAUAUCCUCUGCCUCUAUCCCCAUCCUCUAUCUCUCUCUGUCCCCACCCUUCUCUGUCCCCGUGUCCCUGUCCCCAUAACUACCCAUGUAAUGUUGACUAUGCAGAACAAGGUCUGCAGAUCAGUUCACUGGUCCUCGGUGGUUUUGACUGGUAGCCAUGUUGAGUGUACCAGUCAAAGUGCUGUAGUCUGAGGGGGAUUGACUGGUAGCCAUGUUGAGUGUACCAGUCAAAGUGCUGUGGUCUGAGGGGUAUUGCUGUCUGUCCCUUUCUAUGUCACUCUAUUUCUAUGUUGCAACUAGACUAGCAGCCUGCUAUGACCUACCACACUCCGUUCUGGUCCGUUCUGGUGCAGUCUGGUCCAGUCUGGUCCGGUCUGGUGCAGAUCACAACAUGGCUGUGUUGGUCUCCUUGUGGACUUGGAUAGGCUAGUAACUAGCUGUGUUGGUCUCCUUGUGGACUUGGAUAGGCUAGUAACUAGCUGUGUUGGUCUCCUUGUGGACUUGGAUAGGCUAGUAACUAGCUGUGUUGGUCUCCUUGUGGACGUGGAUAGGCUAGUAACUAGCUGUGUUGGUCUCCUUGUGGACGUGGAUAGGCUAGUAACUAGCUGUGUUGGUCUCCUUGUGGACUUGGAUAGGCUACUAACUAGCUGUGUUGGUCUCCUUGUGGACUUGGAUAGGCUAGUAACUAGCUGUGUUGGUCUCCUUGUGGACUUGGAUAGGCUAGUAACUAGCUGUGUUGGUCUCCUUGUGGACUUGGAUAGGCUAGUAACUAGCUGUGUUUGUCUCCUUGUGGACUUGGAUAGGCUAGUAACUAGCUGUGUUUGUCUCCUUGUGGACUUGGAUAGGCUAGUAACUAGCUGUGUUUGUCUCCUUGUGGACUUGGAUAGGCUAGUAACUAGCUGUGUGUCCUACUGCUCUGACCUUAAUAGUGAUGUUUCUUGUUGCUAAGUGCUUCUGGUGACAUAUGUAUGUGGCUAUCAAAAAUAACAAUGGACAAUAAUAGUGUUGUUUAUGCAAAAUCACUCUAAUUAAUAUUGCCCUCAAAGCAUGCUGAUUCGUUCAAGUAUUUUUAGUUAAUUUAGCUGGGGAAAAAAACAUCUGAUAGAAGUUUAAUUCUCUUUAUUUAAAUCAUAUAAAACGCAUGGUUCAUUUAGUUUGGUAUUUCUGGAUAGACAACAUCCAUGUCUUGAUUUACUGUACAUUUCUAUUCUGUGUGUAAAUGUUAGACAUUAUUAUAUAGACUGUUGAGUUUGAUUGUCCUGGGCUGGGAUGUAUGGUGUAUGUGGUUACUAUACUACAGUUUUAACCAACCACAAAAUGUGACACAAACAUCACACGUCCCUCUUUGUGCCUCAAAUGCUUUACUGUACAUGUAAGAAAAUAUACUCUGUCGUUUUUUUUCUCCAUUGUGGCUUACAACAACAAAGUCUGAAAUGUCUGUCCCCCAAGGAUUCUGUUUGGCGGAAUGUGAUAUGAAAAUAAACACUAU